rnacentral:rRNA from 1 species
UUGAUGUCGAUUUGAAUGUGAUUCGGGGCAGCCCCGAUUUAAACUGAAACAACUUUCAACAACGGAUCUCUUGGCUCUCGCAUCGAUGAAGAACGCAGCGAAAUGCGAUAAGUAAUGUGAAUUGCAGAAUUCAGUGAAUCAUCGAAUCUUUGAACGCACCUUGCGCCCCUUGGUAUUCCGAGGGGCAUGCCUGUUUGAGUGUCUUGAAAUCAUCAAACCCAACCGGUCUUGUUGCCGGCGCGGUUUGGACUUGGGGGUUCNUUGCUGCCGCUNGCGGNGGCUCCCCUUAAAUGCAUCGGUCGGGCUUUCGUGCGGCUCUGUCCCUUGGCGUUGUAUUACCCUCGUCGCUGGAUGGCUCGCGAUUCUGUGCCCUUCCCCGACUUGCCUCUGGAGUGGCGGUCUUCAACAUUUGUGAUCUGACCUCAAAUCAGGUAGGACUACCCGCUGAACUUAAGCAU